rnacentral:misc_RNA from 1 species
GAUGAAGAACGCAGCGAAAUGCGAUACGUAAUGUGAAUUGCAAAUUCAGUGAAUCAUCGAGUCUUUGAACGCACAUUGCGCCCCCUGGUAUUCCGGGGGGCAUGCCUGUCCGAGCGUCAUUGCUGCCCUCAAGCACGGCUUGUGUGUUGGGCCCCGUCCUCCGAUCCCGGGGGACGGGCCCGAAAGGCAGCGGCGGCACCGCGUCCGGUCCUCGAGCGUAUGGGGCUUUGUCACCCGCUCUGAAGGCCCGGCCGGCGCUUGCCGAUCAACCCAAAUUUUUAUCCAGGUUGACCUCGGAUCAGGUAGGGAUACCCGCUGAACUUAAGCAUAUCAAUAAGCGGAGGA